rnacentral:rRNA from 1 species
UACAGAGGGUGCAAACGUUGUUCGGAAUUACUGGGCGUAAAGCGCGUGUAGGCGGCUUUGCAAGUCGGAUGUGAAAGCCCUCGGCUCAACCGGGGAAGUGCACCCGAAACUGCAAAGCUAGAGUCUCGGAGAGGAUCGUGGAAUUCUCGGUGUAGAGGUGAAAUUCGUAGAUAUCGAGAGGAACACCAGUGGCGAAGGCGAGUCUCUGGACAUUUCCUGACGCUGAGGCACGAAGGCCAGGGGAGCAAACGGG